rnacentral:rRNA from 1 species
AUUGAACGCUGGCGGCAGGCCUAACACAUGCAAGUCGAGCGGAUGAAGGGAGCUUGCUCCUGGAUUCAGCGGCGGACGGGUGAGUAAUGCCUAGGAAUCUGCCUGGUAGUGGGGGAUAACGUCCGGAAACGGGCGCUAAUACCGCAUACGUCCUGAGGGAGAAAGUGGGGAAUCUUCGGACCUCACGCUAUCAGAUGAGCCUAGGUCGGAUUAGCUAGUUGGUGGGGUAAAGGCCUACCAAGGCGACGAUCCGUAACUGGUCUGAGAGGAUGAUCAGUCACACUGGAACUGAGACACGGUCCAGACUCCUACGGGAGGCAGCAGUGGGGAAUAUUGGACAAUGGGCGAAAGCCUGAUCCAGCCAUGCCGCGUGUGUGAAGAAGGUCUUCGGAUUGUAAAGCACUUUAAGUUGGGGGGAAGGGCAGUAAGUUAAUACCUUGCUGUUUUGACGUUACCAACAGAAUAAGCACCGGCUAACUUCGUG